AUAUAAUCUUCGCAUAAUAUCGCGGCACUAUCGCUGGCGUAGACGACGCGAUGUCCGGAGUGAUCCUCGGGUGUCAAAAGGUUAGCAGCGUUGAUGACGACGGUGCGCGAGUGCGGAUCGGUUCGUCGACGUUGUCACUUUGACAAUGGGAAGAAGACUGCGGUAUUAUUUGCGGCGGGACGUCGUCGGCCGUGCGGCACUUCCUGGACUUUGCACCGCGGCAUAUAACGCAGAAUGUUGGUCAGUCAAAUACUCAUAGUAUGGCGACGGCUGAUAAAGGUGGCACGAGUCGCGGGGCAUUGUGUAUAACGAAGCGAUGCGGGGCCGUAUCAGUCAAAAUAAAAAUUUAUUGUAUGUAUAUAUAUUGAUAACACGCGUGCGUCUACGGAUUAGAAAAUAUUGUUUUCGUUGAGUGGUGAGCGGGGUGGGGUGAAUGUGUUACGACCGUCUAGUCUCAAGGCCGUAGACACGUGGCGAGUGAAAAGUUACAAACAACUCACAAACAUACAGGUGAAACUAAUAUAAGCGUGUUAAUAAAAAACUAGAUUUUGUGUUUCAUCUAUAAGUUACAAAAAAUACAUGUACCAAUAAGUUCAUUACCCUAUGUUAAUAGCACAUAAUUAGUCGUGUAUCUUUGUAUAAAUAAUUGGCGAUUUUUACUCAUAAUUUAAUAGUUGAUGAAACACAAAUUUGAAAUAAUUAGUUCCAUUAAAAAUGUUUUCGUGUUAUAAACGUGAAAAAACUUUUUCUGUUAAAAGAAGUUUUAGUGAGACAUCAAAUAAAACACGAUGAUGUGAGAAUUCCAUGUCAUUUAUGUAGUUCAACAUUUUUAGAAAAAUAUGAAUUGGUGCAUCACGCUAAAAAAAAACACCAUCUUGCAACGCAUGGAAUUCACGAUAGGAAAUCACGCUGAUUGAGGAACUUUAAUGUCAUGUGGAAAUGAGAACGUUGUCAUACAAUUGAGUACUAGUGGAAUGAUUUGGAAGUGACAUGCAAUUUCUUAUAAUUAUAAUACAGUUAGGAAUAAAUGAACUAAACAAAAACGAUUGGAUGAUUGUACAUCAAAUAAUUUUCAACUAAUAAGUUCAUCGUUGAAAAUAUUUUAUAUUAUAAAAAAAAUUAGGAUAAAUUGAUGGUUAUCAAUAACUUUUAUUUCUGAUAAAAAACAAAUUGAUGAAAAAAUUAAAAGAAUGUUUAGUAAACUUUAAUGCUAUAAAUUUCAAUUUGAGAUUAGAAGUCGCCUAUCAUAUACCCCAUCAGGAUAACACAAAGGAAAUUUGUUAGUUAAAACUAACACUGUGAAAUUAUUUGACGGCAGAAUUAUCGAGGAGAUUGUUAAAAUUGAACUCGAAAAAUUAUAUGACGAGCAUGAAAACUACGCGGGGAAGGGGAGCAAUUACAAAUAUACUCAACUGUCUGCAAACUCGUAUAUCAAUUUGCAAAGCGUUAUAAAAAUAAAAAAUCCGUUAUAAAUUCCCAAAAUAUUGAUAAUUUAUUUUUUAAAAGGAUGGCAUUAACCAAAAAAAUAAAGGUGAAUCACAUUAAUAUUGUCGGUAAUAAAUAAUUAUAAAUCAUUAAAACACGACUAUGAUUUUACCGGAAUAAAAUUUCCAACACCUUUGGAUGAAAUUAAAACAUUUGAAAAAAAUAAUUAAAGGACACCUGUUAAUGUUUAAGAGUUGAAGGCUAUAAAAAUUAGCGAUACAAUGAAAUUCGAGCAUUUAGUAUACCCAUUAAAAGUGAUCGAUGAAGAACAAGAGAACCAAUAUAGGUUAAUUACUAUUAUCUAACACUGUUGGUAGUAAUCAUUACGCAUACAUUUCGGUAGAUUGGUUUAAAGUAAGUCAGAUGAACAAAAAUAAUUAAAAAAUUAUUUUUUGUAAAGAUGCUUUUCAGGCUUCAAUUUUAUAGUAAAAAAUAUAAAUUAUAUGAA